rnacentral:lncRNA from 1 species
CCAUGAAUAUUUUAGGAAAAAAGAAGAGAAAAAUGGAGCAAAUCAUAAUCGAAGAAAAGAGCCAGAAGGCAUAUUCUGUUAGGAUACAUUGAUUGUAUCUCCUACCAUUCAUAUAGUAUAUAUCAAUAAUUGUAAAUUGCGUGCAUUAAUGGUUUUGAUAUUUAUGCAAGAACAAAGGAAAUAGUAAACGAAUAUACAUUUAUCGAAUAGCAUAUACACAAGUAGAGAUUUCUCAAUUAACAACCAUAUCGAAAAUCGGGUUUUAUGUAUCUAGUAAAAGCAUGCAAUUGUAUGCACAAAUUAAUCAUUUUUGGUAUCGACAUUGAAACUUGACGAAGGAGCAGCAUACCUAGAGGAAAAACUCCCGUAAGAGUCGUCUUCAUUGUUACCUUCAUCAAAGUUUUGAGCAUAACUCAAUGGACUAUAUCUGAAGUUGCCAGCCGGCAGUUUUCGAUUUGUUCGAUUUCUCAAUGACAACAACGAAAACAUUUCUUUGAAAAAUCCCCAGCACGAAACUUUAAAUUUUUCUUUGUCUUCUUCUUCUUCGUCUUCACCCUCUCGAUUUCGAGAAGACGAAUGGUUCUCUAUAGCUUCAAUCUUUUUUUGCUUCAUAAUGUGUGCAUAGAGAGAGAGAGAGAGAGAGAGAGAGAGAGAGAGAGAGAGAGAGAGAGAGAG